rnacentral:rRNA from 1 species
UACGUAGGGGGCUAGCGUUGUCCGGAUUUAUUGGGCGUAAAGAGCGUGUAGGCGGCCAGGUAGGUCUGCUGUGAAAACUCGAGGCUCAACCUCGAGACGCCGAUGGAAACCAUCUAACUAGAGUCCGGAAGAGGAGAGUGGAAUUCCUGGUGUAGCGGUGAAAUGCGUAGAUAUCGUAAGGAAGACCAGUGGCGAAGGCGGGUCUCUGGACAGUUCCUGACGCUGAGGCACGAAGGCCAGGGGAGCAAACGGG